GACGAACGCUGGCGGCGUGCCUAAUACAUGCAAGUCGAGCGGAAGUUGAAGAGCUUGCUCUUCAACUUUAGCGGCGGACGGGUGAGUAACACGUGGGCAACCUGCCCUGCAGAUCGGGAUAACUCCGGGAAGCCGGUGCUAAUACCGAAUAGUUUUGGGUCCCUCCUGGGACCUAACGGAAAGACGGUUUCGGCUGUCACUGCAGGAUGGGCCCGCGGCGCAUUAGCUAGUUGGUGGGGUAACGGCCCACCAAGGCGACGAUGCGUAGCCGACCUGCGAGGGUGAUCGGCCACACUGGGACUGAGACACGGCCCAGACUCCUACGGGAGGCAGCAGUAGGGAAUCUUCCGCAAUGGACGCAAGUCUGACGGAGCAACGCCGCGUGAGUGAUGAAGGUUUUCGGAUCGUAAAACUCUGUUGCGAGGGAAGAAACCGUGCCAAUUAACUACUGGCACCUUGACGGUACCUCGCCAGAAAGCCACGGCUAACUACGUGCCAGCCGCCGCGGUAA
rnacentral:rRNA from 1 species